UACGUAGGGAGCAAGCGUUGUCCGGAAUCAUUGGGCGUAAAGAGCGCGUAGGUGGCUUCAUAAGUCCGUUGUGAAAGUCAAAGGCUCAACCUUUGAAAGCCGAUGGAUACUGUGAAGCUAGAGUACGGAAGAGGCGAGUGGAAUUCCUGGUGUAGCGGUGGAAUGCGCAGAUAUCAGGAGGAACACCAAUAGCGAAGGCAGCUCGCUGGGACGUUACUGACACUGAGGCGCGAAAGCGUGGGGAGCGAACAGG
rnacentral:rRNA from 1 species